GACGAACGCUGGCGGCGUGCCUAACACAUGCAAGUCGAACGGAAAGGCACUGCUUUUGUGGGGUGCUCGAGUGGCGAACGGGUGAGUAACACGUGAGUAACCUGCCCUUGACUUUGGGAUAACUUCAGGAAACUGGGGUUAAUACCGGAUAGGAGAUCCUGCUGCAUGGUGGGGGUUGGAAAGUUUCGGCGGUCGGGGAUGGACUGGCGGGUUACCAGCUUGUUGGUGGGGUAGUGGCUUACCAAGGCUUUGACGGGUAGCCGGCCUGGGAGGGUGACCGGCCACAUUGGGACUGAGGUAGGGCCCAGACGCCAACGUGAGGCAGCGGUGGGGAACAUUGCACAAUGGGCGAGAGCCUGAGACAGCGACGCCGCGUUCGGGAUGACGGCCUUCGGGGUGUAAACCGCUUUCGCCUGUUACGAAGCGUGAGUGACGGUAAUGGGUAAAGAAGCACCGGCUAACUACGUG
rnacentral:rRNA from 1 species